rnacentral:rRNA from 1 species
UACGUAGGAUCCAAGCGUUAUCCGGAUUCAUUGGGCUUAAAGGGCCCGUAGGCGGGCCGUUAAGUCAGAGGUGAAAUCCUGCAGCUCAACUGUAGAAUUGCCUUUGAUACUGGCGGCCUUGAAUUACUGUGAAGUGGUUAGAAUAUGUGGUGUAGCGGUGAAAUGCAUAGAUAUCACAUAGAAUACCGAUUGCGAAGGCAGAUCACUGACAGUACAUUGACACUGAUGGGCGAGAGCGUGGGGAGCGAACAGG